CUUGUUCAAUUAUAGGAGGUCCAGCCUGCCCAGUGACUUUGUUCAACGGCCGCGGUAUCCUAACCGUGCGAAGGUAGCGUAAUCACUUGUUCUUUAAAUGAGGACUAGUAUGAAUGGCCCCACGAGGGCUGCACUGUCUCCUUUUUCUAAUCAAUGAAACUAAUCUCCCCGUGAAGAAGCGGGAAUUAUACUAUAAGACGAGAAGACCCUAUGGAGCUUUAAACAAUUGAAACAUUUGCUUUUCUCCUAGCUCCUCCCGAGCUCUUUAUUUUAUUUAAGCAUUAUUAUUUCUAGUUUUAGGUUGGGGUGACCACGGAGCAAAACUAAACCUCCAUGAAGAAAUGAAUAUUUUUAAGCCACAAACUACUUUUUUAAGCAUCAACAAAUUGACCUUCAUUGACCCAAUAUAUUGAUCAACGAAC
rnacentral:rRNA from 1 species